UCAUCCGUCUCGCCAUGAAGGUUGGUGGACGCAGGAAAUCGCGGAAAUCAAAGAUGUUGUUCGAGUGGAUAUGUCUUCUCAUAGUCACACUCGUCGUAUUUAGGUGUCUUCGGCUUUUUGGUGGGUUGUGGCGAGUUCUUUCUCGCUUGUUCUUGUUGUUUUCUGGUUUUGUGUUGUUCGAGCUUGGCAGCUUGGGGGCGAUGGUUAGGCCGGAGCUCCUGAAGCUGUCCUCCGCUCUCUUUUUU
rnacentral:lncRNA from 1 species